GUGGGGAAUAUUGGACAAUGGGCGAAAGCCUGAUCCAGCCAUGCCGCGUGUGUGAAGAAGGUCUUCGGAUUGUAAAGCACUUUAAGUUGGGAGGAAGGGCAGUAAGUUAAUACCUUGCUGUUUUGACGUUACCGACAGAAUAAGCACCGGCUAACUUCGUGCCAGCAGCCGCGGUAAUACGAAGGGUGCAAGCGUUAAUCGGAAUUACUGGGCGUAAACCGCGCGUAGGUGGUUUUGUAAGUUGGAGGUGAAAUCCCCGGGCUCAACCUGGGAACUGCCUCCAAAACUGCAUGACUAGAGUACGGUAGAGGGUAGUGGAAUUUCCUGUGUAGCGGUGAAAUGCGUAGAUAUAGGAAGGAACACCAGUGGCGAAGGCGACUACCUGGACUGAUACUGACACUGAGGUGCGAAAGCGUGGGGAGCAAACAGGAUUAGAUACCCCGGUAGUCC
rnacentral:rRNA from 1 species